rnacentral:rRNA from 1 species
GACGAACGCUGGCGGCGUGCCUAAUACAUGCAAGUCGAACGCAGUGGGGACGGGUGAGUAAAACGUGGGUAACCUCCCAUCAGAGGGGGUAACACUUGGAAACAGGUGCUAAACCGCUAGUGGUGGAUGGACCCGCGGUGCAUUAGCUAGUUGGGGAGGUAACGGCUAACCAGGGCCACGAUGCAUGGCCGACCUGAGGGUGUGAUCGGCAACACGGCGACUGUGACACGGCCCAGACUCCGACGGGCGUCAGCGGUAGGGAAUCUUCGGCAAUGGACGAAAGUCUGACCGAGCAACGCAGCGUGAGUGAGUGGGGGUUUCGGAUCGUAAGACUCUGUUGUUAGAGAAGCGGUAUCUAACCAGAAAGCCACGGCUAACUACGUGCCAGCAGCCGCGGUAAUUC